CCUACGGGUGGCUGCAGUGGGGAAUAUUGGACAAUGGGGGGAACCCUGAUCCAGCGACGCCGCGUGAGUGAAGAAGUAUUUCGGUAUGUAAAGCUCUAUCAGCAGGGAAGAAAGAAAUGACGGUACCUGACUAAGAAGCCUCGGAUAACUACGUGCCCGCAGCCGCGGUAACAUGGAGGGGGCAAGCGUUAUCCGGAUUUACUGGGUGUAAAGGGAGCGUAGACGGUUACGCAAGUCUGGAGUGAAAGGCGGGGGCCCAACCCCCGGACUGCUUUGGGAACUGUAUUACUGGAGUGCAGGAGAGGUAAGUGGAAUUCCUGGUGUAGCGGUGAAAUGCGUAGAUAUUAGGAGGAACACCAGUGGCGAAGGCGGCUUACUGGACUGUAACUGACGUUGAGGCUCGAAAGCGUGGGGAGCAAACAGGAUUAGAUACCCGAGUAGUC
rnacentral:rRNA from 1 species